UGGGGGAUAUUGCACAAUGGGCGAAAGCCUGAUGCAGCGACGCCGCGUGGGGGAUGAAGGCUUUCGGGUUGUAAACCUCUUUCGCUAUCGAACAAGGCCCGCUUAGGGUGGGUUGAGGGUAGGUGGAGAAGAAGCGCCGGCUAACUACGUGCCAGCAGCCGCGGUAAUACGUAGGGCGCGAGCGUUGUCCGGAAUUAUUGGGCGUAAAGGGCUUGUAGGCGGCUUGUUGCGCCUGCUGUGAAAACGCGGGGCUUAACUUCGCGCGUGCAGUGGGUACGGGCAGGCUUGAGUGUGGUAGGCGUGACUAGAAUUCCAGGUGUAGCGGUGGAAUGCGCAGAUAUCUGGAGGAACACCGAUGGCGAAGGCAGGUCACUGGGCCAUUACUGACGCUGAGGAGCGAAAGCAUGGGUAGCGAACAGG
rnacentral:rRNA from 1 species